CAAUAGCGUAUAUUAAAGUUGUUGCAGUUAAAAAGCUCGUAGUUGGAUCUGUGGUGUGCGGUGGGCUCCGGGCACUUGUUGUCUGAGUAGCUCGCCGCUGCCAUCCUUGGGUGGAACCUGUGUGGCAUUAGGUUGUCGUGCAGGGGAUGCCCAUCGUUUACUGUGAAAAAAUUAGAGUGUUCAAAGCAGGCUUAUGCCGUUGAAUAUAUUAGCAUGGAAUAAUGAGAUAGGACUUUUUCGCUAUUUUGUUGGUUUGCGCGAAGAGGUAAUGAUUAAUAGGGACAGUUGGGGGUAUUCGUAUUCCAUUGUCAGAGGUGAAAUUCUUGGAUUUUUGGAAGACGAACUGCUGCGAAAGCAUUUACCAAGGAUGUUUUCAUUAA
rnacentral:rRNA from 1 species